rnacentral:rRNA from 1 species
UCGAUCUCAAAUCAGGUAGGACUACCCGCUGAACUUAAGCAUAUCAAUAAGCGGAGGAAAAGAAACUAACAAGGAUUCCCCUAGUAACUGCGAGUGAAGCGGGAAGAGCUCAAAUUUAAAAUCUGGCGUGCCUCUGGUCGUCCGAGUUGUAGUCUGGAGAAGUGUUUUCCGUG